UACGUAGGCAGCGAGCGUUGUUCGGAGUUACUGGGCGUAAAGGGUGUGUAGGCGAUUGUUUAAGUUUGGUGUGAAAUCUCCCGGCUCAACCGGGAGGGUGCGCCGAAUACUGAAUGGCUAGAGUGCGGGAGAGGAAAGUGGAAUUCCUGGUGUAGCGGUGAAAUGCGUAGAUAUCAGGAGGAACACCGGUGGUGUAGACGGCUUUCUGGACCGUAACUGACGCUGAGACACGAAAGCGUGGGUAGCAAACAGG
rnacentral:rRNA from 1 species